rnacentral:lncRNA from 1 species
CCUUCAUCAAUUGAGUUAUUGAGUGAGAGUCUGGUGAAGCUUGAUUUGAGUGAAAGUGUUAUAAGAGAGCAGCCGUACUCCCUUUUUCUUAAGCUGCCGAAUCUCAUGGUAUCAUCUUUUGGCUUCUUUCCAAGAAAGAGUCCUCACCCUUUGAUUCCUCUAUUAGCUUCCUUGAAGCAUUUCUCUUGUUUGAGGCACUUAAAAAUGAACGACUGUAAUCUCUGUGAAGGAGAGAUUCCCAAUGAUAUUAGUUCUUUGUCCUCCUUAGAGAGGUUGGAACUCAGAGGAAACAAUUUUGUUAGCCUUCCGAGCAUUCAUUUGCUUUCUAAGCUUAAAGUUAUUGAUGUGGAGGAUUGCAAAAGGCUUCAACAAUUGCCAGAACUUCCUUUACGUGACCUAUCUGUGCUAGCCAACAAUUGUACUUCCUUACGAGUGUUUCCAGAUCCACCAGAUUUGUGCACAUUAUCGCCUGGUUGGAUUACUUGCAUGAAUUCCUUGAGUACGGUCGGUAAUCAAGAUGCUAUUUACUUUUUUUUGUAUUCAGCGCUAAAGCGGCUGCUGCUUGUAGGUCGUCUCUCUCUCUCUCUCUCUCUCUCUCUCUCUCUCUCAAUUGUUGUGUGAUAUGAUGGUAUGGUGCAGGAAACCCUUUGUCCUCGUCACUGUUUAUUUUUCGCAAUUCCUGGAAGUGAAAUUCCUGUAUGGUUCAGUAAUCAGAGUGAGGGAGACUCGGUAACUGCUGAGAAGUUACCUUCGGAUGCAAUUAAUAGCAAGUUGAUUGGGUUUGCUCUAUGUGCUCUAAUCGAUCCGUCUGCCGAUACUUGUAUACUUGACGUUACUUGGUAUAGUAUGGGUACCGAGCUGGGAUAUUAUUGUUUCUAUAUGAUUCCAAUUUUUUCAGAUCACCUUAUGUUAGUUGUUGUGCCCAUUUUCCGUCUGGAGGACGCAUGCAAUGAGGUUAAGUUUGUCUUCAAAACGAGUUCAUUUGUAAAAAAAAAGGGUGCUCGAAGGUAAAGAAAUGUGGGGCCCGUGCACUGUUUGAGCACGACAUGGAAGAGCUGAUCAGUAUAAUGAACCAAUCCAAGAGCAGCAUUUCUCUUUACGAGGCUACGGAUGAACAAGAAGGUGCCCUGGUUAAGGCAACAACAAGCAGAAGUGGUGGCUCUGACGAUGAAUAUUACUCUGCAGAAGAAUGAAGAAUGUAAAGAGAUACUGUCCAGCUUUGAAAAAUCGGAUCUUGGUCUUAAUCAACGUGGUAAUCAAGGCCUUCAUGGAAUGGUUUGAGCAAGUCGAUCAGUUAAAGUAUUGUGUGUAAAAAUUUUGGUAGUGUCAAAACUGGUGAUGUUACUACUGAGAUUGUCAAUGAUUCAGACGCAGAUCAUGUUUUAUAUUGAUCCAUUUCUUGUUUAAGUCUUUACGCAGAGAUGACCUUUUGAUCUUCUCAUAUUUUUUGUAAAAAGAAUAAGGUUGCAAAUGCUCUGGUUAACCAUGGUAUGUCAUUAACACAGCUGGUUUGGUGAGAUUCACCUCCUUUUUUUAUUUUGUCAUAUUGUAAUAGUGAUCUUAUGAAUCUUUCCCAAUUUCGGUUUCCUAGUUUUGUUUCGUUGUUAUUUUGUUAUGAGAGGUUUUGGUCUAAUCCUCCUCUCUUGAUGUUUCUCUUUUUUCUUUUUUAAUGCAUAAGAACGUUAAGAGGCCAUUCCUCUCUCACUCAUCUUUCAGCCAAAAAAAAAAAAAUUUUGCAUUAAUUUCUUGAAAGUUUUGUUUCGUCUCUAUUGUUGGUUCAUAAAGUUGUACACUUGUAUAUAACGUGCUAAACAUAUUAUACCACAUUAAUAUGUAUGCUGUGAUUCCGAUGAGUAAAUUCACAAAAUGAAAAUUUCACCGUUUGAUAUGAUCAUUAUAGUAAAACAUGGCUAUAGUAUAAAAUUCGACUCGAUUCAAUGAAAAACGUCAAGUCGAUGUAUAAAUUGAUUCGUCUCUGCAUAACCAUUCUAAAUGUCUACUUAUCAAUAAAUGCAAUUGCAAAAGUUGAACUGGAACUAAUAUCAAUAAAUGCAAUUGCAAAAGUUGAACCGGAACUAAAUAAGCAAGUAAUGAGACUAAAUAAACUCCCACGUCAAUUAAUAUAUGGAUCACAAGGUUUAAAAUACAUUUGAUAAAACUUACCAGUAAAAUAAAAAUACGUCUUUAUGAUCAUACCUAUGAAGAACCUUAUUGUUUUUGACCUUGCAUUUACAUUCUUGAAGAUAUUAAAGAGGUCACUGUAUGAUAUAUCUUUCAUAAACCUUUUCAAAAUUAGUAUUGACGUACAUUUCAACAAAGGAGUCGAUAGUUCACAAAAAUAAAUAAGAAUUUAGUGCAUGGCAUAUCUAUAUUCACAUCUAACUUUCUAUAACUAAAUCAGGCUGAUAGGGUCAUACCCACCUCACUGAAGUUCACAGUGUAGAUAAUGCAUCAGCACAAAUUAAACACAAGACCUGAUAUCCCUUGCCUUUUUUCUUUUAUUUUUUUAUUUUUUAAACAAAAUGGAAAGGUUGACAAGAAUAUACAAAAAUAAUAGUUCAAAUAAAUACCCAGUAGAUCAAGUCCUCCAGACAUAGUUAAAAACAACAAAACCCAGCCAUUACAAUAUCAACAAUUCAGUGUCAUAAAUUAUCAAUCAAACGUUGACAAUCAUAUAGAACCUUGUGGAAAAUGGAACAUUCAAAACUGAUAGCAGCAGCUACCAACUCAGGCUAUCUAUAUAUGUUUCAAAUCAAGCACAAAAAUCAGAUAUGAGUGCAUCAGUUUUAGCGAAAGUCGAAGGGAAUUGGAUGUGAGAGCAAAACCUGAGAAAUCAGCCCUUUGUGUUUUGAAUCAGAACAUCUGUUGAAUCGAUCCUCUUAAUCAAUCAGACCCGUUUGUUACCAAAUACCAUCUAUAGACUCUGAGACCCAUUGAUUAAAUUCUCCAAGUAUUUCUAAUAACAUAAACUGAAUCAAAUCAAAAAGAAGAGAAAGAUGGAAUCUUGGUACUUACCAGAAUCAGGUGAGGAGUCGGUGGCUGGCCGAGGUUGAAAGGACUGAGAUUCAAUGAGUAGAGGUUGUCAUUGACGAUUUCAAAAAGGUAAAUCUGCCAUCAGUGUUGCCGAGGCCUCGUACUCAGAAGGAUACUCAUAUCGAAUCUCUUACCAUUUCGUCCAUGGAUGAUAAGCAGCUUUCUGAUUUCGUCAAUGCAACGGAGGCUGUUUUGAUCUAAAUCCUUCGCCGCCGCUCAGCCGGGUUCUGCUCAUCUUAAUCGAUUCUGGAUGGCACGGGCGAGACGCGUGCUCGGGCGUACACGGUAAAAGUACGAGUAAAAUCUGGGAUACGGUAUACAUACUAGUCAAAUACAAACCUUCUUAAUACAGAUUUCUAAGGGGACAGUACACAGACAGUAGAGAGGCAGCUGGGUGCUCCAACCUCUGGGUGCAUUAAAGAAUUCGCCAAAAUAAAACUGCUUUAUGAUCACUCAUUCACUGUAACCACAGUACAAUCGUGUGGUGGUGUUUCAGCCAAAGUCUUCUCUUUCAGUCGUCUCCUUCUAUCCACAUUCCACAUUUGCAUUUGAAACCCCUUUCGAUCAGAACUCUGAUCACCACUCAGUCACUUUCCGAUGGCGAUGAGCACCCAAGUUAGAGCCUCCACCGGUUCAGCUUUGCCAUGGAAAUACGACGUGUUUUUGAGCUUCAGAGGCGCAGACACCCGCAAGGGCUUCACAGAUUACUUAUACAAAGAGUUGCAGCGGCAAGGAAUCAUGACUUUCAGGGACGAUCCACAACUUGAAAGAGGCACGGUCAUCUCUCCGGAGCUACUCAUUGCAAUCGAGCAAUCCAGGUUUGCGGUCGUUGUUCUUUCGCCAAAGUACGCAACUUCUACGUGGUGCUUGCUUGAACUGUCUAAGAUUCUUGAAUGCAUGGAAGAGAGAGGGGCAGUUCUGCCAAUAUUUUAUGAGGUGGAACCCUCUCAUGUUAGACACCAAAGGGGCAGCUUUGCGGAAGCGUUUGGACAACAUGAAGAGAAGUUUGGAGAAGGAAAUAAGGAGGUGGAAGGGUGGAGAGAUGCUUUAACCAAUGUGGCCAAUCUUUCUGGGUGGAGUUCAAAGGAUUAUAGGUAAGAUCAAAUGACACAUAAUAACUUACUUUAAUGUUUGAAUGUCUGUGUGUAUUGUGAUUUCGAACAUGUGAGCUUAAAUUGGUGAUGUAUUACUCGAUAGGAGCAUAGAAUGCCUACACUUUAUAAUUGCGGUUCAGUUCUAUCUUACAAGUGAACUUUAUAUUCAAUAUGUUCGUAUUCAGUAUGAGAAUUGUGAUAUUCUUAUUGUAGGUAUGAAACAGAGCUUAUCAGAGACAUUGUGCAUGUACUCUGGAGCAAAGUGCAUCCUAGUCUCAUUGUAUUUGGUUCCUCAGAGAAGUUAUUUGGAAUGGAUACUAAGCUGGAGGAAAUAGAUGUUCUUUUAGAUAAAGAAGCAACUGAUGUUCGCUUUAUAGGGAUAUGGGGGAUGGGUGGUCUUGGUAAGACAACCCUUGCUAGACUAGUUUAUGAGAAAAUCUCUCAUCAAUUUGAAGUUUGCAUCUUUCUUGCUAAUGUCAGAGAGGUUUCCAAAACCCAUGGUCUAGUUUAUCUACAGAAACAGAUUCUUUCCCAAAUCGUGAAGGAAGAAAAUGUUCAAGUAUGGAACGUUUAUAGUGGAAUCACUAUGAUAAAUAGAUGUUUUUGUAAUAAAGCGGUUCUUCUAGUUCUUGAUGAUGUGGAUCAACUAGAGCAACUGGAAAAAUUGGUGGGAGAAAGAGACUGGUUUGGUUCAAGAAGUAGAAUCAUCAUUACAACUAGAGAUCGGCAUGUCCUAGUCACACAUGGUGUAGAAAAACCAUAUGAGUUGAAGACACUAAACGAAAAUGAAGCUCUUGAGCUCUUUAGUUGGAAAGCCUUUAGGAAAUAUGAGCCUGAUAUAGAUUAUGCAGAACAGUCUAAGAGUUUUGUUAGGUAUGCUGGAGGUCUUCCCUUAGCUCUUAAAAUUUUGGGGUCUUUCUUGUACCAAAGGAAUCCAGAUGCAUGGAAUUCUGCAUUGCAAAAACUACAACAAACUCCCGACCGAAGAGUUUUUGAAGUACUGAAAAUAAGUUUUGAUGGACUUGACGAGAUGGAGAAGAAAAUUUUUCUGGAUAUUGCUUGUUUUCACAGGCUGUGUAACAACGUGUCUGUGAUUGAACUUGCAUACAGCUCUGAAUUUUGCAUUCGUAUUACAAUAGAUGUUCUUGUUGAGAAAUCUCUCUUAACUAUUUCAUCAGACAAUGAAAUAGGUAUACAUGAUUUGAUACAAGAAAUGGGAUGUGAAAUUGUUCGCAAAGAGUCUUAUGAAGAGCCUGGCAGACGCAGUCGGUUGUGGCUUUGCAACGACAUUUUUCAUGUAUUCACAAAGAAUACGGUAAAAGUUUAAACAAAUUGAAUUACCAAGUUUGGAUAGCACUGUCAUUUUAUUUAACAAGAAAAAUACUUAAUCCUGGAAUUGACUUCUCUGUUGUGACAGGGAACAGAAGCCAUUGAAGGCAUAUUCUUAUGCUUGGCUGAAUUAGGAGAUGCAGAUUGGACUCUUGAGGCCUUCUCUAAAAUGCGUAAACUGAAGCUGCUCAUCAUUCAUAAUUUAAAGCUUUCUCUUGGCCCCAAAUAUCUUCCUAAUGCCUUGAUAAUUCUGGAUUGGUGUUGGUAUCCUUCAAAAUCUCUCCCACCAGCUUUUCAACCGGAUGACCUUACUGAACUUAGUUUGGUUUUUAGUAACAUUGAUCACCUCUGGAAUGGAAUAAAAGUAAGCCAUUGAAUAUCUGCUGCUGCACACAUAUUUAAAUUUUAAAGUUCCUGCUUGGAAGCUGACUUUUCUACCAUUCUGCAUGUUUUCUACAGUACUUGAGCAAGUUGAAAUCUAUCGAUCUUAGUUACUCCGUAAACUUGACGAGGACCCCAGAUUUCACAGGUACUCCAAAUCUUGAAAAGUUGGUUCUUGUAGGUUGUACAAGUUUAGGUAAGAUCCAUCCAUCCAUUGCAUUGCUCAAGAGACUCAAAAUUUGGAAUUUUAGAGACUGCAAAAGUAUUAAGAGUCUACCGAGUGAAGUGCAUAUGGAGUUUCUGGAAACAUUUGAUGUAUCUGGCUGCUCAAAGCUGAAAAUGAUUCCAGAAUUUGUGGGGCAAACGAAAAGAUUAUCAAAGCUAUCUUUAGGUGGGAGUGCUGUUGAGAAACUGCCUUCAUCAAUUGAGCUAUCGAGUGAGAGUCUGGUGAAGCUUGAUUUGAAUGGAAGUGUUAUAAGAGAGCAGCCAUACUCCCAUUUUCAUAAGCUGCAGAAUCUCAUAGUAUCAUCUUUUGGCUUAUUUCCUAGAAAGCAGAGUCCUCAACCUUUGAUUCCUCUAUUAGCUUCCAUGAAGCAUUUCUCUUGUUUGAGGGAAUUAAAUCUGAACGACUGUAAUCUCUGUGAAGGAGAUAUUCCUGAUGAUAUUGGUUCUCUGUCCUCCUUAAGGAGCUUGGAACUCAGAGGAAACAAUUUUGUUAGCCUUCCUGCAAGCAUUCAUUUGCUUUCUAAGCUUGAUUAUAUUAAUGUAAGGGAUUGCAAAAGGCUUCAACAAUUGCCAGAACUUCCGGUAAAUCAGUCCUUAGCUGUGCGAGCCGACAAUUGUACUUCGUUACAAGUGUUUCCAGAACCAUCAGAUUUAUCAGAUUUGUUCCGAUCUACUUAUGCUAGUUAUUUUUUGUAUUCAGCGCUAAAGCGGUUGCUUGAGGUUCUCUCUCUCUCUCUCUCUCUCUCUCUCUCUCUCUCUCUCAAUAAUAUUGUGAUAUGAUGGUUGGUAAUUUGGUAUGGUGCAGGUAACACCUCUUGAUAACAACUGUUUCCAGUUGGCAAUUCCUGGAAGUGAAAUUCCUGUGUGGUUCAGUAAUCAAAGCGUGGGAGACUCGGUGACUGAGAAGUUUCCUUUGGAUGCAAGUAAUAGCAAGUUGAUUGGAUUUGCUGCAUGUGCUCUAAUUGUGCCUCAAGAAAAUCCGUCUGCACACCGUGAUGUAGAUCCUGAAUGUGCUCUAAUUUCGUGUCAGUGGAUGAUAAACUAUAAUGAAGAGCCGGGUCUUUGUUUCGAUUUGAGACAAAUUGUUUCAGAUCACCUUUUGUUAGUUGUUGCGCCCAUUCGCCCUAUGGAGGACCCAUGCCAUGAAGUUACGUUUGACUUCGAAUUCUAUGUUGAAAACAACAGAUGCAUGAAGGUGAAGAAAUGUGGGGCCCGUGCACUGUACCAGCACGACAAGGAAGAGCUGAUCAGUAUAAUGAACCAAUCCAAGAGAAGCAUUUCUUUUUACGAGGCUACGGAUGAACAGGAAGGUGACAUGGUUAAGGCAACAACAUGCAGAAGUGGUGGCUCUGAUUAUGACGACGAAUAUUACUCUGCAGAAGAAUGAAGAAUCUAAGAAGACAACUGUCCAGCGUUGUUGAAUCGGAUCUUGGUCCUAAUCAGUGUGGUAAUCAAGGCUUCAUGGAAUGGUUGAGCUAAAGUGUUGUGUGUAAAAAUUUUGUUUAGUGUCAAACUGGUGAUGUUACUACUAAGAUUAUCAAUGAUUCAGACAUAACACGCAGAACAUGUUUUCUAUUGAUCCAUUUCUUGUUCAAGUCUUUAUCUAGAGAAAACGAGAAAAUUUCGAAUCAAUCUUUUUUGUUUACAUCUUGUCUGGAGGUGUAUAUGGUAAAUGAGUAAAAGAUUGAUGUACUGAUAUUAAUGUAUAUUAAUGUCAAAUCCAGAAGCAAGCUCAUUUCACAAGGGUUUUUCUUUUCUUGGACCGACAAGAAUGCUUCACAUAAUUUGGAACAAAAAAGUAGAAAUUUAUUUAAUUUACAGUCAUCGAUGAAACUAAAUCUUUAAGGCAGAGGAAAAUAUACACGUACAUGAAGAUUGCACUCAAACUCAACCAAAAACACUUAUAAUUUUUCAUUAGUAGCAUUACUAGAGGUUCCUAAUGAAAAGACUCGGUUACUUAUUUUUCUCUAGCCUGAAAAACGUAUGCUAUGGAACCAUGAACAAGUUAUGCUUACGUUCCUCUAUCAUCACUGUUUUGAUUUUUGAACCAUUUCGAUGCUCCAUGUCGGCUCUUUAUGUCGUAGCUGCAAUAUGGUGUGAGUUGUUUGAAAAUGUAACUUCUCUACUUAUUAAUGGAUUGACGCCCUCCUCUCAAAGAAAAGAAAAGAAAAAAUAUUUCUAGAAUAUGUAGUGUCAAAUUGCAAGAAACUAAUGUCUUCUAUACUGAAAAGCCUGAAAUGUACCUUGUCGAGAAAUUAAGCAGUAGAGGACAAGAAUAAUGCAUGUUUCAAUUCACAACAUGUUCAAGCUUUUAAGAAGAUUAUGAGACAAAGGAGACUCCUCUAGAGACAAAGGAGACGAUUCUAAUGCAAUUUUGGUUUUGAAUGAUGUGAACUUAGAAAGCACAAUAACGUUAUGGUUGAAGUAGAUAAUGAAGAUUCUGGUUUGGUGGAAUCUAAUCAUCCAACUAAGUUUUGUUAGGGUGAUUUAGAAAAUGAAGAACCCCUUGGUCUUCGUACAUAUACCCAAAAUGAGAUGACGAGUCAUUUGAGUUCUUGGUAUGGAGAGGGUGAAGCAACGCUAGAGGAUGAGAAUCUUCUCAAAUCUCUAUCAAAGUCUCAAAAGAAAAAAGUGAAGACCAAAAGAGUUUCACAAGACCAUUACCCUGCCCACAAUCGGACGCUCGUGGUGCGUUUUGAUCUAUGAUGUAGUCCGCUUUAAUCAUUCUUAUGUUUUGGUUGCCUUCUGUUCUUUUGAUCGUUCUUAGGUACUAUCUUUUUUAUUUAAUGAAAUUUUCUGUUCACAAAAAAAAAAAAAAAAAAAAAAAAAAAAACUUAAGAUUUAUGAAACACCUUUGGAUUAUAAUAAAAAUGCUUUAUGAUCACUCAUUCACUAUAACAGUACAAUCUGUUAAGAGUAUAAGGGUAUUUUAGUCAUUUGACUAGAAUCCCUACCUAUAAAAGCUAGGAGAUAUACAUUGUUGAUGAUCAAUGAAACUGCGUUUUAUAUUUUAUGCCUUGCGUCUUUCAAUUCAAUAAUCUUGUGGUGGUGUUUUUUUUUUUUUUGAACAGGAGCUUCAUUAAACACAACAAAAGGCUGUAGAAAGAGAAACAACAAAACUGAACAUCUAAGCAAAACAUAACAACAAAAUAAAUCUGAGUCUAAAUCCAGAGGUGGAGCUGGCAAGCCAUAUGAUCUUAGCAAUUGUUGCAAAGAAGAUGGAGGGUGAUUGAUAUAGUCUCCCAAAUCAUCCCCUUUUUCAGCCGCAGCGUUUCUAAAUCUCGUAACCAAACUCCACGUACAACUUGGCAGGUCAAUCUUCAAUCUCUUGAUGUCCACAAGAAGAGGGUAAAUGCUCCAACUGAUUUGAGAAGAAUUCUUUACCACUGCAUAUAUAGCUGUUCAUAAUCCAAUUCAAUACAUUCAAUACACACGGCUGUAGCAUUCAUACUCUUAGCUAAGAUCAAACCCUCCUUAAUAGCAGAAGCUUCGGCAUGCAAAGCAGAGGAAGAAUAGCAAGAUUUAGCACAACCAUUGAUUACAACAUCACUGAAAUUUCUUGCAAUUACUCUAAUUCCUGCAAGAUUACUAGAAGCAUCCCAUGCACCAUCACAAUUGAUCUUAACAUUCGAGCCUAAGGGAGCACUCCACAUAUCAGGCCCAUCGUUCAUUUUACAUUUUUCUUCCACACCAACUUGGAGGAUGGUCAGUAAUCCCAAAAAACUCGGCAACAACAUACUUCACACUUUCAAUUACUCCCUAAGCAUUUGGAUCUCUAUGCUCAUAUAUAGAAGUACACAUUUCCUUCCAAAUAUUCCAUAAUGCAAAUGAAACCCAGCAAGAUAAUAUUUCCCAUGCUCUACUAUUCUGCUUCAAUAGACCACAAACACCAUAAAACCAAUCAUCAAGUGUUGUUAUUAAAGCAGGGUCAACCUUGUAAGAAAUGGACAAUCCGAACCAAACUCCAGCUAUCCAAGAACAUUGCAGUAGAAGAUGUUCUACUGACUCUUCAUAUAAUAAACAAAGCAGACACAUAGGAGAUGGAGCAAUUCUCUUGGUGAACAAAUUUUUCAUUGUAGGUAGAGAAUUAGUGCACACUCUCCAGAGUAAAUGCUUAACUUUAGGUAAUGUAAGAGAUGACCACAUAAACUUCCAAACUUCAGGCUUUAUUACAUGAGAGGAAUGCAUAGAUUGAAGUGAAGGGGAAUUCCUAUUAGCAUGUUGCAUAUGAUAACCAGAACGAACUUUAUACUCACCAUUUUUCUCCAUAGGCUAAAUGAGACGAUCAUGCUCCCAAGUAUCAGAAAUAGAAAUUGAUCGAAUGGCAGUGACGUCCUCCGAAGAAAGGUGAUGGAUGAUUGGAGAAAGAUUCCAAACAUGUUGAUCCCAAUCAAUUAGAUCAGCCACCUUUUGAUAAGGAUCAAACUCGCCAGCAUCUAAAUAGGAGGCACCUAGUUUGCAUCCAAGAAUACCUAGAAUCCACCUAUCCUUCCAAGUAUUAAUUGACUCACCAUUGAGAACCUGCCAUAAACAAUAAUUGCCAAAUAACUUCCUGCCCACUAAAAUACUACUCCAAGCCCAUGAGGCCUUAGAGCCUUUAGAGGCAGACAACAAAUCAGAAUUAGGAAAAUACAAUCCUUUUAAAUCGUGAACCCAUAAAGCAUUCGGCUAAUGAAUAAUUCUCAAGCCAACUUUAGCCAACAAUGCAAGAUUAAAGUCUUUCAAACAUCUGAACCCCAUUCCACCUUCAUUCUUAGGUAAUCCCAAUUUCUCCCAACUCAACCAAUGAAUCUUUCCACCCACAUCAGAUUGCCCCCACCAAAAAUUUGAAAUCACAUAAUCGAUUUCCUUACACAACCCAUCAGUGAAUAGAAAAACAGCCAUUAGAUAAGCAUGAAUUGCAGAAAUCACAUAUUUAAUAAGAACCUUUCUACCAGCUUGAGUAAAAUGCAAUUGUUUCCAUCCUUGAAUCUUCUCAGAUAUUCUCCCCUUCACAUAUGCUAGUGCUUGCUUCUUGGACCUACCCCACAUAGUAGGCAAACUUAAAUACUUCCCAGGGUCAUCAGAGACAGGAAUGCCUAAGACACCACUAAUACCCAUCUAAAGAUCGAAAGGAGUGUUCACACUAAAGAAAAUGCUGGACUUACUGAAAUUUACCCUUUGGCCACUGGCAAGACAAUAAGCAUUAAGAAUGGACAUCAUGGCUUGACAGUUUUCCAUAGAUGCUUUAAGAAAGAACAGAGAAUCAUCAGCGAAAAGGAGGUGAGAAAUCCAUGGCCUAUCAAUACCCAUUUUAAUACUUGCGAGAUUGUGGGACAAACAUGCAUCAUUAAUCAUUGCAGUAAAAACCUCACCAACAAUAAUGAACAUGUAAGGAGAAAGAGAGUCCCCUUGUCUAAGACCCCUCGAAGUAAAGAAAGAGGGACAUGGCUUUCCAUUAAGCAACAUAGAGAAUGACACUGUAUUGAGAUACUUCAUGAUCAGAUCCACCCAUUUAACAUCAAACCCCAUUUUCAACAUGAUAGCCUCCAAGAAAUCCCACUCAACCCUAUCAUAAGCUUUAUUCAUAUCAAUUUUCAAACCCACAUCAUAGUCCUUAUCACUCCCUUUCAACUUCAAAUAGUGAAAUAUGUCUUGUGCAAUGGUAAUAUUAUCUUGUAUCUAUCUAUCCUGAACAAAUGCAGUUUGAUUGAACGAAAUAAGAGUGGGAAAACAAGUCUUAAGUCUGUUUAUCAAAACCUUAGAUAGCACCUUAUAAGAGAAAUUGCAUAGGCUAAUAGGCCUAAACUGAGACAUUUGAUCAAGAUGGGAAACUUUAGGGAUCAAGACAAUGAAAGUCUUAUUCAUAUCAGCAAGUAGAUUUCCCAUAUCCAUAAACUCAGAAGCAGAUUAAGAAACAAUUGGAGCAACAACUUCCCAAUAGGACUGAUAAAACGUACUUGGAAAACCAUCGGCACCGGGCGCUUUAAGGGCUCCAAGAUCAAAAACUGCUGAUUUUACUUCCUCCACAGUCACAGGCUUUAAUAAUUCAAGAUUCAUAGCGUUUGACACAAAUGGCAAAAUAGAAUCUAAAGCCUAAGACCAAUCCCUAUGACCAUCAGAAGAGAAAAGAUUCUGAAAAUAAUUAGUAAAACCAGCUGAAAUGUUAGCAUCCCCAUCAAUCCAAGCACCCUCAAGAUUUUUGAUAAGCUUCACCUUGUUUAUGUGUCUUCUUUGAAUCGUGCUCAAAUGAAAGAAUUUGGUAUUUUUAUCCCCGGAUUUCAACCAAUUAAUUCUUGAUCGUUGAUGCCAAAAUAUCUCUUCUCUAGUCUAUAUAUGAUUCAUCCAGCUUCCUGACAAUAGACUCUUUCCUAACCCUAACCUCUUCAGUGUCAUCAGCAGUAGCAAGCACAUUUAACUCAUUCAUCAAUUCACUAAUUUUCACCUUAGAAUGACCAAAUUUAUCCCUAUUCCAUCUCUUCAAACCCACCCUGCAGAAAUUAAGCUCCUUAUUCCACUUGAAUUGAGGGCCUCCAAUCACAUUUUUUGACAAUUAUCAGAAACUACAUCCUUGCAUUCAGGGUCCCUUCUCCAAUCUUCUUCAAACCGAAACAACUUGGGGACUUUAUUGUCUUUAGGAACACAGGCUACCACAAUGGGGCAAUGAUCAGAACCCACAUUAGGAUAGUUCACAAUUUCAGUUAGAGGCCACAAUGAACACCAAUUAUCAGUAACCAAUGCUCUAUCUAGUCUUUCCUGCAAUAAGGAACCAUCUUUUUUCUUUCUAACCCAUGUAUACGCUGAUCCUUGAAACCCCAAAUCAUUGAGGUUACAAUUGAAGAUAAAAUCUCUAAAUAACUUCAUUUUGCUUUCACAUCUUGGAACACCCCUAAUAGCCUCAUCAUUACUAAGGAGUUCAUUGAAAUCACCAACACAUAGACAGCUGGUUUUGAAAUACCUCUAACCAGAGAAGUCAAUUGUCACGCCCCCAAAUUCAAGGCCAAUAUUAUACUGAAAUACGGCUAGUGAACUUAUGACGUGAUCCAUAAAACAAUAAUAAAACUUGAAAGUAAGGAAUAAUUCUGAGUAAAACUUUCGAUUGAUAUAACAAAAAUUCUUUUACAUCGAUUGAGCUUAAAGAUAGAUUUUGUAAACACAAAUAAAGAUUUAUUGUGAUGAAAUAAAAGUGGAAAUAUAAAACAUUAUUUGUUAAUUUUAUGUCGGUUCACCCUGUCCCCAAGAAUAUACUCGUUACCUGAAAAAUAUAAAUGUGUAGCAUCAUGAGUUACACUAACCCAGUAAGUACCGAUCACAAUCUUAUAUUAAUUUGCUUUACAAAAUGAUGCAAAUUGAAUAACGAAGUAAAAUGAUAAAACAGUCAAUUAUUAAUGCACAUUGAAUAUAAUCCACUUUGAAUACCAAAUAUCAUAACAUUCUUUACCAAAUCGACAAAUACAGCAUCAAUAGAUGAAUUAACUCAUAAAGGUGCAUGUAUACUCGAUUAUCUUUUAAUUUCACCUAGCAUCAUAAGGUAUUAAUAAUAUCGCAAACUGUUCGAUCAAAAUAAUAUACGAUUACUUUUCUUCUCAAUAAAUAUUUCAGAGUAACUGGUAACAAUCCAAAAAUCCACGUGCUAGGUCCGCUAUACCAAAGCACGGGUAAGCCGCAACAUACUAGGGCCACUUGCCAAAACAUGUAUACUCAAAGUUUGACACUUCCAUCCCAAUGAGUAUAAUAGUGCACUAUCUGAAUGGGACUAGGACCCACAGCUAACUUCCACAUAAAAUAUUUUACCAGUAAUUCACUUGAGCACGGGGUAGUACCAUUCACCCGGCUCCAUAACUUCUCAAACAUAGUCAAAUUCAUAAAUACAAUCUUUAUGAGUUAUAGAUCGUAAGUUCGUAACAUAUGUAUAUGUACACAAAUACAUAAAUACAUGUAUAUACAGAAACUUAAGAAUAAGUAAUUAGUAAUGUGCACGAAAUUAUUCUCCACAGGUGAAAGCCACUUUGUGAAGCCAUGGCUGCACCUCUGCAAGACCAAGGAAGUGACUGAUCCACCGUCGCCGUGCAAUGCAUUGGAAUGCAGCGGUUUGUGUGGAAGCUUGUACACCGGAGGAAUUGGGAUAUGCAUUGCCGAAUCAUGCGAGUGUCUCCACUCCUGCUUCAAAGAGGCACCUCCCAGCAGAGACACCAUGCCCGUUUCUGAUGAUAAAACUCCCCAAAGGAUCUGGUCUUCUCCUUCUUCUAAGGACCUCAAGCCUGAUCUCGAAAAUGGCAUCAUCUUCUUCUAUGGAGAAUCUAAAGCCUGGGCGACAUUCCGAAGCAGCCUUAUCUUCUUCUAUGGAGCAUCUCAAGGCUGAGAAUAUUUCCAGAGUGGCAGUGUCUUCUUCUUCUGAGGAUCUCAAGCAGCCUGAGAGAAUUUCCAAAGGGGCAUUGUCUUCUUCUAUGGAUCACAAGCAGAAAACUUCCCAAGUGGCCUCGUCUUCUUCGAAGGAUCAACUCACACCUGAUCAGUUUUCCAAGGUGGCCUUGACUUCUCCCAUAAUUCCUAUCAACAAGCCUGAUCGAUUUUCCGAUAUGGGAUGGCCAAUCCAGCCAUAAUCUGACCUUGCUAUGAUCCCCUCAUGAACCAGUCAAUAAGUCUUCCAUGUUAGAAAAGGAUAUUGUUUUUCUUUUCUUCUUCAUCGUUUUUUUUUUGUUAUGGUAUUGUACAAGUCAGAUAUUUAGGGCAACGUAUGUUUGACCCUUCUGGUUAAGUAAAGUAAUAAGGUGGAAACAAGUUUGAUCGGAUCCGCUUUAUUUUCAUCUUUGGUUAAGAACAAAAAUAUUUAGAUCUUCAAGAUGAAUCUUAUAGGAAUAAUUCAAUGGGUUAUAUAGGAAGCAACUGUGUUCUUUUUGAAAUUUCUUCAUACGCUUCCACUUCUAAACGGUUCUGAAUAAUCAAACAAGACACAUCGCCCUAUCUUAGGCAACGUUUUCUUUUCACGGUCAGACUAUAACAGAUUUUGCAUUAUGCAAAUGUUUGGUUCCAUCUUUUACGACUGGUGAUUCCAUCAAUAAUAUUCUUCGAACUAUCAAUGAUAUUCUUCGAACUAUCAAUGAUAUCAAUCUCCACCGAGUCAUUCCACCAUAAUUCCAUAAAGCCAAACCACCCGACAAACCCACCAACCCUUCAGGCUCAACAGUCAAACCAGAAGAAAAACCCAUUUUUUCCCGGACAUUUUCUACUUUUCUCUUUUUAUUCUUGGUUUCCAUAAGAAAAAUAACAGAAGGAUCCAAAGAGCUCUUGUAAUAAUCAAGAGAGUUUCCCGUCAAGAUUGGACCCAAACCUUGACAGUUCCAGGAUAAUAUCGUCAUGGCGACCGUGUGGCGGUGAUAGGCCCGCCACCACAACCUUUUCCAUCCGAAUUCGUAUCCCAUACAUCAACCUGCUUAAUAACAACUUCCACAAGAUCCAUAGGAACAAUCGCAGAGCUAAUACGAUCAGAAGCAUGAUGACAAUUAGAGCGAGACUUACCUCUUCUACGUAUCCCUUGAUGACUUCGAAGUCUACAAACAACUGAAUUACUGUCAUUGGUUGUUGCAAGAGGUGCCUGGUCCAUCAACAAAUUUUGGAGUUCUCCUCUUAGCCUUUUGCUCCCUCCUGCACAAUCCACUAUCUCAUUCUUCCUUUUCAGCUUUAAUCGAUUAAAAAUUGUGGCAAGAGUCACUUCAGCUUGAUCAGGAGAUUUUACUUCGACCAUCACCGAGGCUAUAGCACCUGCUCUAUUAUCUUCCUUGUCACUAACUUCUCUAACUAAAUAUUCCGGAGUACCCAUUGGUUCCGAGUCAGAGACAUCAGACAACAUAAUUGGUGAUUGAUAAUUUUUCAUAGGAUCAAACCCUGGAGAUUGUUGCCUCACACAGGGAAACGAAAAACAAACUUCAGAAAUAUGGAAAUCUGGAGGGAGACGAGGCUGCACAUCAUCACUUGUAUUUGCUUGAGGCCUACUUAAUCCAUCUGAAUUAUGGCCCAGCCUGGACGCUGUUCCCACCUGUCCCUGGCCCAUAAUCCCCUCCGAAUUAACCCGAUCCAAAUUCUCAGCUUCCACUUCAACAAAUGAACUCACUCCUGAUUGGCGCACGGAAUUAUUCCCAGCUUCUGAUUGGUUCUGCUGACCCGCCCCACUAAAGUAAUUAGCAGAAUUAGCAUUCAUUUGCUGACGUGGACCUUUAGCACGCCCCAACUUCUCAGCGAGACCAUCCCCUCUCAUAUCUACACGCGCCAGCAUACGGGCAUUUCUCACGCGCGCCUCAUCGGUUCGACGGCCAAGAAAUCGCAGGAUCUAUUCGGAGAAAGGAAGUGGAUAAAGGAAUGGAUUCGUUAUGGAAAAUUGACUAGAGAGUGGAGGAAUGGAGAAAGACUCACAGAAAACGCGUCACUGAAGAGAAAGAAGCUCUCAGCUAGAGAGAGAAAAGUGUACCAAAGUCUUAAUCGUGUGGUGGUGUUUGAGCCGAAGUCUUCUCUUUCAGUCGUCUCCUUUUAUCCACAUUCCACUUUUGCAUUAUUACUUGAAACCCCUUCGGAUCAGAACUCUGAUCACCAUUCAGUCACUUUCCGAUGGCGAUGAGCACCCAAGUUAGAGCCUCCACCGGUUCAGCUUUGCCAUGGAAAUACGACGUGUUUUUGAGCUUCAGAGGCGCAGACACCCGCAAGGGCUUCACAGAUCACUUAUACAAAGAGUUGCAGCGGCAAGGAAUCAUGACUUUCAGGGACGAUCCACAACUUGAAAGAGGCACGGUCAUCUCUCCGGAGCUACUCACUGCAAUCGAGCAAUCCAGGUUUGCGAUCGUUGUUCUUUCGCCAAACUAUGCUACUUCCACGUGGUGCUUGCUUGAACUGUCUAAGAUUCUUGAAUGCAUGGAAGAGAGAGGGGCAAUUCUGCCAAUAUUUUAUGAGGUGGAACCCUCUCAUGUUAAACACCAAAGGGGCAGCUUUGCUGAAGCGUUUGAAAAACAUGAAGAGAAGUUCGGGGAAGGUAAUAAGGAGGUGGAAGGAUGGAGAGAUGCCUUAACCAAAGUGGCCAAUCUCGCUGGGUGGAGUUCAAAGGAUUACAGGUAAGAUCAUCAAAUGACACAUAAAUAACGUGCUUUAAUGUUUGAAUGUCUGUGUGUAUUGUGAUUUCCAAGAUGUGAGCUUAAAUUGGUGAUGUUUUACUCUAUAGGAGCAUAGAAUGCCUACACUUUAUAAUUGCGGUUCAGUUCUAUCUUACAAGUGACCUUUAUAUUCAAUAUGUUCAUAUGUUCAACUUGAGAAUUGUUGUAUUCUUAUUGUAGGUAUGAGACAGAACUUAUCAAAGAGAUUGUGCAAGUACUGUGGAGCAGAGUGCAUCCUAGUCUCACUGUAUUUGGGUCCUCAGAGAAGUUAGUUGGAAUGGAUACUAAGCUGGAGGAAAUAGAUGUUCUUUUAGAUAAAGAAGCAACUGAUGUUCGCUUUAUAGGGAUAUGGGGGAUGGGUGGUCUUGGUAAGACAACCCUUGCUAGACAAGUUUAUGAGAGAGUCUCUCAUCAAUUUGAAGUUUGCAUAUUUCUUGCUAAUGUCAGAGAGGUUUCCGCAACUCAAGGUCUUGUUCAUCUACAAAAACAAAUUCUUUCCCAGAUCUUGAAGGAAGAAAAUGUUCAAGUAUGGAAUGUUUAUACUGGAAUCACUAUGAUAAAGAGAUGUUUUUGUAAUAAAGUGGUUCUUCUAGUUCUUGACGAUGUGGAUCAAUCCGAGCAACUGGAAAACUUGGUUGGAGAAAAAGACUGGUUUGGUUCAAGAAGUAGAAUCAUCAUUACAGCUAGAGAUCGGCAUGUCCUAGUCACAUACGGUGUAGAAAAACCAUAUGAGUUGAACGGAUUAAACAAAGAUGAAGCUCUUCGACUCUUUAGUUGGAAAGCUUUUAGGAAACAUGUGCCUGAAGAAGAUUAUGCAGAACUCUCUGAAAGUUUUGUCAUGUAUGCUGGAGGUCUCCCCUUAGCUCUUAAAACUUUGGGGUCUUUCAUGUACCAAAGGAGUCCAGAUGCAUGGAAUUCUGAAUUGCAGAAACUACAACAAACUCCCAACCGAACAGUUUUUGAAAUACUGAAAAUAAGUUUUGAUGGACUUGAUGAGAUGGAGAAGAAAUUUUUUCUGGACAUUGCUUGUUUUCACAGGCUGUAUAACAACGAGUCUAUGAUUGAACUUGCAUACAGCUCUGAAUUUUGCACUCGUAUUACAAUAGAUNNNNNNNNNNNNNNNNNNNNNNNNNNNNNNNNNNNNNNNNNNNNNNNNNNNNNNNNNNNNNNNNNNNNNNNNNNNNNNNNNNNNNNNNNNNNNNNNNNNNNNNNNNNNNNNNNNNNNNNNNNNNNNNNNNNNNNNNNNNNNNNNNNNNNNNNNNNNNNNNNNNNNNNNNNNNNNNNNNNNNNNNNNNNNNNNNNNNNNNNNNNNNNNNNNNNNNNNNNNNNNNNNNNNNNNNNNNNNNNNNNNNNNNNNNNNNNNNNNNNNNNNNNNNNNNNNNNNNNNNNNNNNNNNNNNNNNNNNNNNNNNNNNNNNNNNNNNNNNNNNNNNNNNNNNNNNNNNNNNNNNNNNNNNNNNNNNNNNNNNNNNNNNNNNNNNNNNNNNNNNNNNNNNNNNNNNNNNNNNNNNNNNNNNNNNNNNNNNNNNNNNNNNNNNNNNNNNNNNNNNNNNNNNNNNNNNNNNNNNNNNNNNNNNNNNNNNNNNNNNNNNNNNNNNNNNNNNNNNNNNNNNNNNNNNNNNNNNNNNNNNNNNNNNNNNNNNNNNNNNNNNNNNNNNNNNNNNUGUGUGUCUCUCUCUCUCUCUCUCUCUCUCUCUCUCUCUCUCUCUCUCUCUCUCAAUAAUAGUGUGAUAUGAUGGUUGGUAUGGUGCAGGUAACCCCUCAUUUCAACCUUUUCCAGUUGGCAAUUCCUGGAAGUGAAAUUCCUGUGUGGUUCAGUAAUCAAAGUGUGGGAGACUCGGUGACUGAGAAGUUCCCUUUGGAUGCAAGUAAUAGCAAGUUGAUUGGAUUUACUGCAUGUGCUCUGAUUGAAGUUGAAAGUCCGUCUGCACACCGUGGUGUAGAUCCUGGUAUCUGUGAAAUUGUUUGGCGGUGGAUGAAAAACUAUAAUAAAGAGUGGGGUCUUUCUUGCGAUUGGAGACAAAUUGUUUCAGAUCACCUUUUGUUAGUUGUUGUGCCCAUUCGCCCUCUGGAGGACCCAUGCCAUGAAGUUACGUUUGACUUCGAAAUCUAUGGAAAAAACAACGGAUGCGCGAAGGUGACGAAAUGUGGGGCCCGUGCACUGUUUGAGCACGACAUGGAAGAGCUGAUCAGUAAAAUGAACCAAUCCAAGAGAAGCAUUUCUUUUUACGAGGCUACGGAUGAACAAGAAGGUGCCAUUGUUAAGGCAACGACAUGCAGAAGUGGUGGCUCUGACGACGAAUAUUACUCUGCAGAAGAAUGAAGAAUCUAAGAAGACAACUGUCCAGCGUUGUUGAAUCGGAUCUUGGUCCUAAUCAGUGUGGUAAUCAAGGCUUCAUGGAAUGGUUUGAGCAAGUCAGCUAAAGUGUCGUGUGUAAAAUUUUUGUUUAGAGUGUCAACCUGGUGAUGUUACUACUGAAAUUGUCAAUGAUUCAAGGAAAAAUUAUUCAAACAGUGUCCCAUAUUUUAUAGAAACUAAUUUUUAGUAUUUCAACUUAAAUAAACUUCAAAAUGGUAUCCCACGUUUCUACUCCGACCUAAUAAUGGUAUCUGUAACUGUUAGUUCCGUUAAAACAACUGUCAGAUUAAGGGUAUUUUCGUCCUUUCAAUAUUUUAACUUCUUUUUUCCUAUUUUCCUACUCUUUAUUUUUUUCAUCUUUUUUUUUAAUGAGACUGUCUCUCUCCAUUGAAGCCCAACCCCAGAAUUCUCUCUCGGCCAUCGCUCAACAAUUAUAAUUCAUCACAAACCCACUUCCCAAUCAUCCAUUUCUUCACUCAAACAUACCUCAAAAACCAAUAACCAAUCUAUUCCCUAAACCCGAGGCCGCCAAAGACCACAUACAUUUUGCGCUCAGCUCUUUGAUAAUUACAUCUGGGUUGUUUUCAGAGAUGCAUGAGCAUUGGGUUUUCGCCGGAUGAGUUCAUAUUAGGCAGUGUUCUUUGUGGGUGUGUGGGUUUAAGAGGAUUGAAUGUUGAGAAGUCACACUUUUGGUGUGAUUGUUCUACCAGAAAUUUAUGAGCUUUCUAGUAAUUAGCUAGAGACUAUAUAUAGUCUCUGUUUCCAUGAGGACGAGAGCACGUAGGAACCAAAACCAACCAUAUAUCUAGUCAUAAAUUUCUUUGACGCCCAACUUCUGAAAAUCUUGUAGAAAGUCUCCUGGCCAAUGACGAAGAGGACAAGGGCUUGGAAGAAAGGUCUUCAUCAUCGGAGUCGGCGACCGGAAUAAGGAGCUCUCAAUCUCACGGCUCUCUGUCUCUGCUUGCCAAUUACUAUUGACGACGACUUCUCAUCGCCCAUCACCCGCAUGACCUAAAGAUUAAAGCGACGCCGUUUCAAACACCGCGAAACCUGGCCGCAAGGGUGGAGUGGUGGACGAGUUUUCCGGACUGAGAUUCUUCUUAAUCAAAGAACCAGUUAUUCUUUUCUGCUUUUCAAAAACUUGAUUCACGAAAAAAAUAAAAAAUCAAAACAGUCAAUUAAAGGUUAAAUAUGUCAUUUUAUGAUAAUAAUAGUUCUGCUGUCAAUUGUUUUAAUAGAAUUAACAGUUUCAGUUGGUUAUGCCGUCAGUUGUUUUAACUGAAUUAACGGUUUCAGGUACCAUAUAUUCUUCGGUCGAAGUAUAAACGUGAGAUACCGUUUUGAAGUUUUUGAAAGUUGAGAUACCAAAAGUUAGCUUCUCUAAAAGGUGAGACAUUGUUUGGACAAUUUUCCCAUGAUUCAGACAUAACACGCAGAUCAUGUUUUCUAUUGAUCCAUUUCUUAUUUAAGUCUUUCUAGAGAAAACGAGAAAAUUUCGAAUCAAUCUUUUUUGUUUACAUCUUGUCUGGAGGUGUAUAUAUUGAUAGGAGCACAAAGUGUUACGUUUAUAAUGUAUUUCCAACCCUAUUUAGCUAUGUAAUUCCUUUAACAAUAUUCAUAUUAACUAAGUUUGUGUUUUUAGGUCAUAAAUAAAGCCAAGGAGCCCAAAAGAGACAAAAGAGGAGAAAUCUUAAAGGAAAAGGAAUUCAUGUCAUGCAAGAAAAGAAAUCAGAAAAUCUGUCAGAAAUCGUCAGUCAACUUUGACAGAAGAUUGUGAUCAGCUCACAGCGAUCCAGGAGAUAUGUCAUAUAUCAAUGGAAAGCUACAAGAGUCUACUUUCCAGAACUUUUUACGGAUCGUCAAUACCUACAUUGAGGAAGAAGUUAUGACCGUUUAAAUGGCCGAAGGUCAGUCUGCCCGAAUUUCUGAUUUGGACCAAAACUUCUAUUUUGAGGCCCAAACCACAUUAGCAAUCCCAUGGACGAGUUUUGAGGGUUUUAUAACCCUAAUCACAGAGGAAAGAGGACGGAAAAAGGCCAGAGAGGACGUGAAGAUUAGAGGAGGCCAACGAUCUCACCAUCAUCAGAACCUCCAUAGUUGCAGACUCGCACAAGGAAGCCGCUAAGCCAUCAUUGAUUUCUCCAUCAUCCACGGUUUAUCUUUCCUUUGUCAUCUUUUAUUCUCCUUGUGUGUCUUUGCAGCCAUGUGUGGCUGAAUUCUCUUAGUUAGGGGCAAGGUUUGAAGCCCCAAGAAUGUUUUAGAUAUUGCUUUGAACCUUGGUUUCGAAUUAUUAAGUCUUUCAAAUUGUUUAUUUGGUUUUGGUUUAUGGAGAACUCUUGCUUAUUUAUGUUCAUGUAUGCGCAACAUAGAAUAUUAUGAACUUGUGAGUGGGGCUAGAAUUAGGUUGUUUAAUCUCCUAAACGGUUAAUACGGCUUAGUUCAAAGUAGUAAAACCUAUAGGACAAUAGGUGAAACCAAAUAAAAAGGAUUGCAUGCUAGGUAGGCGUUCCACACUAGUUUUGCAUACUUGUUCAAUCACUUUCAUUGAUCUUAAUGCUUAGAAUAAUUUGUUGAUAGGAUAGCGUCUAUACCUUGAUCGGUUAUUCUAAAGGCAUAGUAAUGGUGCGUUCAUCUUACUUAAGUAUUCAAGGGAAGUAAUAAGGACUUACGCAGUGCGUUCACGGUUUGUUCUUGAUUGAUACCGAUUUGUGACUUAAUGAUUGAAGCUUUGGUUGUUAACAUGUCUUGAAACAUACUUGGUGGUGGAUUUCCAAGUCUCUAACGUCUCAUCCAUUUGAUAUUUUCUGAUUUAUUUUGUUUCUUUAUUUUCUCUUGUUUAUAAUCACAAAACCCCAUAUCUCUAGUACUAUCAUAUUUUGUUUUGUAAUUAACGUAAUUGUAAAGGUACCCUCAAUCCCCGGCUUGUAACGAUACCCUUAUUUGCUAUAUACUAUAAUUGACACAAAAGAGUUUUUAAUUGAAACGCCCAGUUUCGGUCGAUGAAGCUAAUUCUCCAAGGCAGAGGAAUAUAUACACAUACAUGAAGAUUGCACUCAAACUCAACCAAAAGCACUUAUAAUUUUUCAUUAGUAGCAUUACCAGAGGUUUCGACUGAAAGCUUGUUACUUAUUUUGCUCUAGCUUCAAUCUCAUGUUCAUCACCAGAGGAUCCAGAUGAAAUGGCAAUGACUCUAGCUUCAUUUUCCUGUUCAUCACCAGAGGAUAUUGAGGAAAUUAUCAUGGCUCUGACUUCAUUUCCUGUUAAUUCUAAUGAAUAUCUCAACACACUAGUGUCCAUACAUCUUGCAAAUUAACAGAAGCAUAAGUACAUUUUCUAAACACAUACCAGGACUAGGGUAGUGGAUUUCCAUAUCAUCCCAACCUAUGAUGCGUACUCGGAAAUGAGAAUGUUCGCCAUCAUAGUUGAACACCAAGAGCUCACCUUCUUCAAGCAAGUAAAACUGAGUAAAUGCUUUCCACCCCUCCUCUAACCACAUAUGGUUACCACAUGGUGACGUACUCAACUUUACUUUCCGAGGUUCUUCCCAGUUUGGAACUUUGAGGAAUAUAUGAUCCCCCAUUUGAUGUCCAUACUUCUUCACAGCUGCAGCUGGAAGUUCCUGUACAUAGGUAUAUAGUUAGACUUAGUCACAAUGCAUAAUGGUGGGUUCAAAUUAGAGGCAAAACGAGCCACAAACAGAUAAAGAUACAGCUAAAAACCAAGGCCAAGGGAAUAGAAACACAGUAAACAUGAAAACUUCCUAAUAUCAAAGGCAAAACAAGCCUCAAAUCAUUACAAUGCUGGUAAUGCGUUUAUGAUGCCUGCAUUGAAAAUGUACACCUAUCCACAAAUGGAUCAUAAGAAGCAUCAAAAUUAUUCUCUCACUUCUGAGUUCUAAUCAAAUCGAUAGGCAGAAAGUCACAAAGUUAUUACAUCCAAGGGAUGUACAAAUGCAAAGUAAGAAUAGAAGGAUAAAACAAGAUCUUUAGGUACUUCCACAAGAGACUCUACAAACAAUGUAAUUUUUUUUCUUCUCUCCCUUUAUCAAAUGAGAAGAUAGCAUGUAAAUUUCUCAACUUUGAAGAUUAACAAAAACAGAAAUUAAGUAAAAAGUAUGUUCCUUCAAGGUACAGGGUACAGGUUUCAAACUUUUUAGCUGCAAAAAGUUCAGAAAUCAAGCAGAACCUUUUUCUUUAUUGUCCUGCAAGACUUAUCUAUAAAGGCUUAUAAUUUCAAGUGUUUGAAAAAAAAAUGUAGAAGAAAAACAGAACAACAACUGGAAUUAACAGAAUCAUAGAACUGAAGCAAAGCUCUUUAGUUUCUAGUGAACAUGUAAAUAUCUCAACUUUCAACUCUCAAGAUUAACAAGCUGUGAAAUUAAGUAAACACAUGUUCCUAAAAAAAGUGGAAAAUGUAAUCUUUCACGCUAAUCAAACAAGAUCAGAACUUCUCCACACACACACACACACACACACACACACACACAAAAACAAGAUCAGUACUGAAGCAAUUCCAUGUUUCAGCUUUCAAAGUUACAAGCUUUGAGAAGAUUAAAGAGAGAGACAUAAGCAAAGGUACCUUCCUCCCUUCUUUGAUAUCAUCGAGCUCCAGAAGCCCUACACAGAAGAAUGGGGAGUCCUCUGGAACAGCAGGUCGUUAUCGGUCCAUUUCUGUAGAAAUCCUUGUUACAGAAGAAGAGAACUUAUUCAAAACUUGUUUGCUUACCCAAAAGAGAGAAAAAUUUGUUUUGAAAGUGUGUAUUGUUGAAUGAUUCAAAGAAUGAUGCACUGAUCUCAGAGUCUUUCUCAAAUGUAGGACUUAAAUUUGGGUUGGGCUUCGUUAAAGCCCACGUUGCUUUCAAAAGUUUUCAUUGCUUAAGCAUAACCCAAAUUUCAUCAUCAUGUUCAUCAUCCACAGCCAAAACACUGCCAGCCUGCCACGGUGGGUGAUUGAUUGAUAGGAAUAUGCAAUUGCAGUAGGCGUCCAAGCAGCAGUAGUGGAUUAUAUGACGACCCUCUGCGUCUGAUAUCGUCGAGUGUCACUGCAGGGUGGAAUUCAUAUACCAUUUAUUUAACAGAAGAGGCUUCUAAGUUAUCGAUCAAUCGAUACAAGGUAUAGAGUUGUGAUUUUUUCAAGCUAAGAUCAUCUAAUAUCAUUCUUUUUUGCAGUUAUGCUGGUAUGUAAGCCUCUGGGUCUGAUCAAAUGAGAGUGUAUCUAGAACUUUCAACUUGAUACUUUGACCAUAUCGUUUGAGUUUGCCUCAUGAAAUUUGAUUGCAAUCUACUACUGUUUAUCUUGCACUCUUUGAUGAUAGAUAACGCAGCCAUGCGUUGAGCACAGACCGAACUACACAUAUAUGAAUCGCAGCCUUAGUUCAGGUACUUUGAUUAUCAAUAGUUUCAGCCGCAAUAACAAACAACUAUGGCCCUUUCGCAUUUUAUGAAUGUCUCAUCUGUUUCUGUCUAUACUUGAAAUAAUAUUAUUACUUACCAAAUACUACUUCGUCGUCCGACGCAAGUAUAUUAAUCUAUUUGAACAGCUAUGGAGUUCUAAUUUUAAAUGCAUGAAGUAGGAGAAAAUUUAGAAACCAUGAAUUAAGAUAUUAGAAUUCCUACAUCAUCACCACCCAGAGCCAAGAGAGUUUGGUGGUGUUUCAAUUUCAGCCCAAGUUUUCUCUAUUCGUCGUCUCCUUCUCCCUCUCCUCCAUUAUUUCCAUUACAUGACAGUUGAAACGCUUUCUCCCGAUCGUGUACAAUUCAUUUUCGAUUGAGCAUCUUGAGCAGAACUCUGAUCACUAUUAAUUCACUUUCUGAUGGCGUUGAGCACCCAAACUGGGUCUGCAGGUUCAGCUUUCCUAUGGAAGUACGACGUGUUUUUGAGCUUCAGAGGCGAAGACACCCGUAAGGACUUCACAGAUUACUUGUAUGACAAGUUGCAGUGGCGAGGAAUCAGGACUUUCAGGGAUGAUCCACACCUUGAAAUAGGCACAACAAUCUCUCCAGAACUCCUCACUGCAAUCAAGCAAUCCAGGUUUGCGAUCGUUGUUCUUUCGCCAGACUAUGCUAGUUCUACUUGGUGCUUGCUUGAACUGUUAAAGAUCUUUGAAUCCAUGGAGGAGAGAGGGAGAAUUCUGCCAAUCUUUUAUGAGGUGGAACCCUCAGAUGUGAGACAUCAAAGGGGAAGCUUUGCUGAAGCGUUUGAAAAACAUGAAGAGAAGUUUGGGGAAGGUAAUAAGGAGGUGGGAGGGUGGAGGGAUGCCUUAACCAAAGUGGCCAAUCUCGCUGGGUGGAGUUCAAAGGAUUACAGGUAAGAUCAUCAAAUGACACAUAAAUAACGUACUUUAAUGUUUGAAUGUCUUUGUGUGUAUUGUGAUUUCGAACAUGUGAGCUUAAAUUGGUGAUGUUUUACUCUAUAGGAGCAUAGAAUGCCUACACUUUAUAAUUGCGGUUCAGUUCUAUCUUACAAGUGAACUUUAUAUUCAAUAUGUUCGUAUUCAGUAUGAGAAUUGUGAUAUUCUUAUUGUAGGUAUGAAACAGAGCUUAUCAGAGACAUUGUGCAUGUACUCUGGAGCAGGGUGCAUCCUAGUCUCACUGUAUUUGGGUCCUCAGAGAAGAUAGUUGGAAUGGAUACUAAGCUGGAGGAAAUAGAUGUUCUUUUAGAUAAAGAAGCAAAUGAUGUUCGAUUUAUAGGGAUAUGGGGGAUGGGUGGUCUUGGUAAGACAACCCUUGCUAGACUAGUUUAUGAGAAAAUCUCUCAUCAAUUUGAAGUUUGCAUCUUUCUUGCUGAUGUCAGAGAGGUUUCCGCAACCCACGGUCUAGUUUAUCUACAAAAACAGACUCUUUCCCAAAUCUUGAAGGAAGAAAAUGUUCAAGUAUGGAACGUUUAUAGUGGAAUCACUAUGAUAAAGAGAUGUUUUUGUAAUAAAGCGGUUCUUCUAGUUCUUGAUGAUGUGGAUCAACUAGAGCAACUGGAAAAAUUGGUGGGAGAAAGAGACUGGUUUGGUUCAAGAAGUAGAAUCAUCAUUACAGCUAGAGAUCGGCAUGUCCUAGUCACAUACGGUGUAGAAAAACCAUAUGAGUUGAAGGGAUUAAACGAAGAUGAAGCUCUUGAGCUCUUUAGUUGGAAAGCUUUUAGGAAAUAUGUCCCUGAAGAAGAUUAUGCCAAACUCUCUAAAAGUUUUGUCAUGUAUGCUGGAGGCCUCCCCUUAGCUCUUAAAACUUUGGGGUCUUUCUUGUACCAAAGGAGUCCAGAUGCAUGGAAUUCUGCAUUGCAAAAACUACGGAGUACUCCAAACAAAACAAUUUUCGAAUUGCUAAAAGUGAGUUAUGAUGGACUUGAUGAGAUGGAGAAGAAAAUUUUUCUGGACAUCGCAUGUUAUUCUUCACAAUGUCGAGCCAAGUUUAUUAUUGAACUACUAUAUAGUUCUGACGUUUGCAAUGGUAUUGCAAUAGAUGUUCUUGUUGAGAAAUCUCUCUUAACUAUUUCAUCAGACAAUGAAAUAGGUAUACAUGAUUUGAUACAAGAAAUGGGAUGUGAAAUUGUUCGCCAAGAGUCUUAUGAAGAGCCAGGUGGGCGCAGUCGGUUGUGGCUUCGCAAUGACAUUUUUCAUGUAUUCACAAAUAAUACGGUAAGAUUUUAAACAAAUUGAAUUAUCAAGCUUCGGUAGCACUGUUCUAUUUAACAUGAAAAAUACUUGAUCGGGAAUUGCCUUAUCUGUUAUAACAGGGAACAGGAGCCAUUGAAGGCAUAAUGUUACACUUGGAUAAAUUAGAAGACGCAGAAUGGAAUCUUGAAGCCUUCUCUAAAAUGUGUAAACUGAAGCUGCUCUACAUUCAUAAUUUAAGGCUUUCUCUUGGCCCCAAAUAUCUUCCUAAUGCCUUGAUAUUUCUAAAUUGGAGUUGGUAUCCUUCAAAAUCUCUCCCACCAGCUUUUCAACCGGAUGACCUUACUGAACUUAGUUUGGUGCAUAGCAAUAUUGAUCACCUCUGGAAUGGAAUAAAAGUAAGUCAUUGAAUAUCUUAUGUGCACACAUAUAAUUAAAAUUCAAAGUUUCUGCAUGAGAGCUGAUUGUUCUACCAUUCUUCAUGCUUUCUACAGUACUUGAGCAAGUUGAAAUCUAUCGACCUUAGUUACUCCUUAAACUUGACAAGGACCCCAGAUUUCACAGGUACUCCAAAUCUUGAGAAGUUGGUUCUUGUAGGUUGUACGAGUUUAGUUAAGAUCCAUCCAUCCAUUGCAUUGCUCAAGAGACUCAAAAUUUGGAAUUUUAGAGACUGCAAAAGUAUCAAGAGUCUACCAAGUGAAGUGCAUAUGGAGUUUCUUGAAAAAUUUAAUUUAUCUGGCUGCUCAAAGCUGAAAAGGAUUCCAGAAUUUGUGGGGCAAAUGAAAAGAUUAUCGCUUUCUUUAGGUGGGAGUGCUGUUGAGAAACUGCCUUCAUCAAUUGAGUUAUUGAGUGAGAGUGUUAUAAGAGAGCAGCAGAAUUUCAUGGUACCAUCUUUUGGCUUCUUUCCAAGAAAGAGUCCUCACCCUUUGAAGCAUUUCUCUUGUUUGAGGGAAUUAAAUCUGAACGACUGUAAUCUCUGUGAAGGAGAUAUUCCCAAUGAUCUUGGUUCUCUGUCCUCCUUAGAGAGGUUGGAACUCAGAGGAAACAAUUUUGUUAGCCUUCCUG